AUUGAACGCUGUCGGCAGGCCUAACACAUCCAAGUCGAGCGGAGCGGUGGACGGGUGAGUAAUGCCUCGGCAUCUGCCUGGUUGUGGGGGAACACGUCCGGAAACGGGCGCUAAUAUCGCAUCCUAUCCGAUGAGCCUAGGUCGGAUUAGCUAGUUGGUGGGGUAAAGGGCUACCAAGGCGACGAUCCGUAACUGGUCUGAGAGGAUGAUCAGUCACACUGGAACUGAGACACGGUCCAGACGUGUACGGGAGGCAGCAGUGGCGAAUAUUGGACAAUGGGCGAAAGCCUGAUCCAGCCAUGCCGCGUGUGUGAAGAAGGUCUUCGGGUGGUAAAGCACUUUAAGUAGGGAGGCGUUACCGACAGAAUAAGCAACGGCUAACUUCGUGCCAGCCGCCGCGGUAAUUC
rnacentral:rRNA from 1 species